GACGAACGCUGGCGGCGUGCCUAACACAUGCAAGUCGAACGGAGUGAUGAUUUCGGUUAUCACUUAGUGGCGAACGGGUGAGUAACGCGUGAGAAACCUGCCUUUCAGUGGGGGACAACAGUUGGAAACGACUGCUAAUACCGCAUAAUGUCAUUUGGGGGCAUCCCUGGAUGACCAAAGAUUUAUUGCUGAAAGAUGGUCCCGCGUCUGAUUAGCUAGUUGGUAAGGUAACGGCUUACCAAGGCAACGAUCAGUAGCCGACCUGAGAGGGUGACCGGCCACAUUGGGACUGAGACACGGCCCAA
rnacentral:rRNA from 1 species